rnacentral:rRNA from 1 species
UAGGGAAUCUUCCGCAAUGGACGAAGGUCUGACGGAGCAACGCCGCGUGAGUGAUGAAGGCUUUCGGGUCGUAAAACUCUGUUGUUAGGGAAGAACAAGUACGAGAGUAACUGCUCGUACCUUGACGGUACCUAACCAGAAAGCCACGGCUAACUACGUG